CGUAGACCUGCGAUAUAAAACAUCGCACUGUAGCGAGGUUCUGCUGGAAGACUGGCUGAGUACUACAUUACCUUACAAAACAAUGUCUUCUGUACGCCAAUUUCCGGCAGCCCAGAUUAAAUUCCUCAUCUAAGUUUUUGUAACAAUUUGCGUCAAACCGCAAGCUCCUGGACGAUGACUCAGAGUGAAUACCAAUCGUUCUACACACCUGCACUUUGAGGAUAAAAACUCCAAUUGGUAGUUUAAAACUGAAACUGAAAUGAUACUACUUAGCGCAAAGGGAAAUAAAUAUAAUUAAUUCUUUUGGUUCAUAUUA